rnacentral:misc_RNA from 1 species
AAGACUAUAGACCUGCGGAGUACCUGCGGAGGGAUCAUUAUGAAAUGUAUGUUUGAUGAGUGUGAAGUGGUGGUGGGGGAUGGCGGGAGGUUGGUGGGGUGCGUGUGGCAGAAUGCUGCCGUACGUAUCGCACUGCAGUCCAGCGGCCCGCGCCACUGUAUAGCGAGUAAUGGUGUGACGUGUGUUUAUACAAAACCAAAACAACUUUUAACAACGGAUCUCUAGAUCGGAAGAGCACAC